UCGGGGCGUAGCGCAGACUGGUUAGCGCACUGGCAUGGGGGGCCAGGGGUCGGAGGUUCAAAUCCUCUCGCCCCGAU
rnacentral:tRNA from 1 species